UGGGGAAUUUUGCGCAAUGGGCGAGAGCCUGACGCAGCAACGCCGCGUGGGUGAUGAAGGUCUUCGGAUUGUAAAACCCUGUCGUCGGGGACGAAGGUUGCGAGUUUAAGAGAUGCGCAGCUUGACGGUACCCGGAGAGGAAGCCCCGGCUAACUCUGUGCCAGCAGCCGCGGUAAUACAGAGGGGGCAAGCGUUAUUCGGAAUUAUUGGGCGUAAAGGGCGCGUAGGCGGUGAUUUAAGUGAGAUGUGCAAUCCCCGGGCUUAACCUGGGAACUGCAUCUCAGACUGGAUCGCUAGAGUACUGGAGAGGGUGGUAGAAUUCCACGUGUAGCGGUGAAAUGCGUAGAGAUGUGGAGGAAUACCAGUGGCGAAGGCGGCCACCUGGACAGUAACUGACGCUGAGGCGCGAAAGUGUGGGUAGCAAACA
rnacentral:rRNA from 1 species